AAAUAAGGAAACUUGAAAUACGAAUUUUACUCAUUUUUGUGAGUUCUCUUAAGACUCUUUGCUGUCUUCAUCUCAGGAGAAGAUAGGGCAAUGGUGAGCCACAGUUAUAAAAAUGAGAGUGUGAGACCACUUCAGAUGGAAAAUAUUUAUAUCCAUGAAAUCUAAGUAAUAGGGAAAUCUGUGCUGCUCUGCUGCUAAGUGUGAAAUUCUGCUUGGCAGCCUGCAAGUUUUAAGGUAGAAGAAGAAAGAUUUAUUUUAAUUUUUCUUUUCUUGUUUGUGUAAAUAAGGACUUUUCAAGGCAUGUAAAUAUAGUAAUUUUUUUUUUCAGUUUUAUUUGGAACUGUUAUAAAUGAAAUUCAGCCAAAUUUAUCAAUAACAAUUUUACUGAAAAAUUUGCAGAAUUGAAUUUUGGAAACCACCACAAUCACUGUCAAUGACGAGCCGUAGCACUGAUUCCACCAAGUUCACAAACUGUCUUUUGGAGAGCUGAGUUUUAUAGAGUUUCUUCAGCUUGAGGCUAUGCAGUUCCAGUUUUUUUUUUUUCUUGUGUUGUUACAUAUUCAUAUUUCUGCUGCUGGACUGCUGAUGAGUUUUCUGAGAAGGAGAUGAAGUUUGAGUGGUUUUUUCAGGAAGCAGGCUUUGAGAUGUAGAAUCGUGGUGAGUUUUUUUGUCAGAAGGAAAGGGAGUCUGAGUAAUUUUUUCAGGAAACCAACAUUGAGAUGCAUGGUCCUGGAGAAUCAGAUGAGGUUGGUAUCAGGAGUUAAUCACCAGGUUGUUAAGAGCCUUAUCUUGCUUGGGUGGACCCACCUCUUCUCCUAUCUUAAUUGCUGGGUCCUUCUCUUGCAAAUUCCUGGUUUUCCAGCAGUUGCUUUUGCAAUCUCAAGUUGCUUGUGUUUUUUUUUUUUGUUUUUUUUUACAUAAAACAUGCUUUUCUACUUGAUUUUAUAUGUGUACAAUAAAACGCAAAUUAUGCCAACAUAUAUUACAGGAACCUUGAGACCCAUGACACAAGGGUCAAUCUCUUAAACUCAAGGACUGGAAAAAUGACACAACCAAGGUCACUACUGUACAUAAAAAUGUGCCCUGUAAGGUACCGUACAUUAAUCAUCAAAGUUGGAGACUAUACUAGAUGAGCCCGAUCACUAGAUCACUAGAUCACUAGAUCACUAGAUCAAUCAGUUCAGAGCUUUCACAGGCAAGCUAUGAUUUCUGAGAAUCAGAGACUUUCUCUUCUGCAGUGAUAUUUGCAUCUUUUUCAGCUGGCUUUACAAUUAACCAGGAUUUCUCUAGCUCAAAAAUAGAAACCUUUUUUCUUUUCUUUUUUUUCUUGAAUUUUAGUUUGAUUGCUAGAAAAGGAUGAAAUGGCAAUCCAUAGAUAAAAGGACUCAGAAAAGUUAAUUUUCAUGAUCCUAAACAGAGGUUCACUGACCUUGGCUUUAUUACAUUUCUUAUUAUAAGUCAAGUAGUAGAACCUCUUCAGUUAUGGAGGUGAAGCUCAUUGUGUUUUUUAAUGUUUAGGAAGGCUAAAAUAUACCUUAGAGUUGUGUAAUUGACAUACAAAUAAUGGGAGUGUAUAUGUUUCCUUUCUACAAAAUCAAGUCGGUACUCAAGAUGAGCAGGUUAUUUCUAGGAGGCUAUAACCUCUGGAGAAGCAGCAGUUAAUUCAAGGUUAAUCUGUUAAUUUCUCUCAGGAUAAAAGUUUAAAUUUUAUGUUUCCUUUUCCUGUACAUUCAACUAUGUUCUUAUGAUUAUUUAGCAUUUUACAAUUUCACUAGUGCUUAGAUUUUAGUAUAUGUCAGAUAAACAUCUGAACUUGCUUUUUUAAAUUUUUUUUUACAUCUUUAUUAAAAUCCAUGACAAAGCCACCGGGUCUGAUUGUGCUGCAGCAGAAAGUAGCGUAGGCUGGGGUUGACUGCUGAAGUCAAAGCAUUCUGCAAGCAAAGUACAAAACUGAUUGUAAAAUUCUUUGGUUAAGACCUUUUUUAUUAAAAAUGUGCAUUGAUUUCAAUGGUGGUGUGUCUAAGAAGAUUGUAUCUUCUGACGUGAGGGGGUGCUACAUCUAAACAAAAUAGAUCCUGUCCACCAGCAGUUUGCUGUAUUGUGUAAAUUCCUAUGGAAGCAAGCAGAAACUCACUGCCAACUUAAGACUGUAAGUAUCUCACAGCAAAUUACUAUUUCAGAAGAAUUCUACUGGCUAGAUGAGCUAUAGUCAAAUGACAAACAUGCUUCUGUUUAUUAAUUUUCUUUGAGGUAACGAAGAAAAAUCUCUGUGUGCAUUUACAAACAUGUAAUCACAUUUUGAUUUCUGUCCAUUUUUAUUAUAAGCAUGUCAGGCUGUACAAGUGAAGUCCUUCAGGAAAGAGCUGAAAAUAGAUGAGACCUGCUGAAACUCCUUUUGCAUUCUCUUUCCUCCAGAAGCCUUUCCAACUUGUACAACUACCCCCUCACAAAGGCUCAUCUGUCUAAAUCUGUCCAAGGAGGUAGAUACCAGGGUUACAUCUGCUCUGGUGGGAGUGGAUCAGCAAAUGAGCAGCAAGGAAGAUUUCAACAGGCUAGAAAAUAGUGUCAUGACCUCUGCUGGCAGAAGAGAGUUCUCAACCGAUUUUAAGACACAAAGUAAUGAAAACUUGGCUGCAAACCACUCACCGAAAAGUGGUUUCUCACUAAGUUAUGCUGAACAAGAAGACAAAGUACCCGCUUCUGAAAUCUCUGAUCCUCUUAAAGUUACUGAAGACCCUCAGGCACAGAUUUUAAAACAUGAUCUAGAGAUACCACAUCAAGCUAAAGUCACAUCAAUACCACUAUCUUUCUUCCCAUCUAAAUUUCAGCAAUUACUGUUAGCUGCAGCGAGAAGGGUCUCUGAAGCAAGGCAAUCUACAGAAACACAAUCUGUAAUUUACAUAUGGCCAGUAAUAAAGAUGCAAGAGAGUUCCAGAUCCUUCUGGCAAAAUUUUUCAAAGUCUUUAAUAUCAAGCAGCCCAGACUUAACAAGUCACUGUUCUAGUCCUGAUGUAACUGAAGAUGAGAAAUGUUCCCAGAUAAUCCCAGUCAAAGAACUUGCACAAAAAGAGCCAGAUGGAAAGACAGCAAGAUUCUAUCCUCUUAUUGUAAAGUCAUCUAACAGUGCUGUUUCAGAAAUUUUAAAGUCACUCACCAGUAUCAAGAAUAAGGAUUAUAAGAAUAUGUUAGUACUUUCAUCUGUUAGUUCUAUUGCACAGCAACUGGAAAUCCCUCUCUUUAAGGGAAAUGCUCUAAUGAUCUAUAAUGGUCAAGUCUACCUUCUAUAUGUAAUGAGGCAUGAAGAUCUGGCAGCAGAAAUGAAGAUAUCUGAUACCAUAUGUUGUUUAUGAAGACCAUUGUUUGGCUCAUUACGUGUCGUUCUGUCCGUAACUAACUUUCCAAGUUUCGCAUCCACUGCUCUUGAGAGAGGAUGCUGUGAAACAGAAUACAAAAUGUGUUCCAGCCUGUGCUACCCCCACAACCCAAGAGGAAGCAUCAAAUGAAACACAUUUCUCUUCACACAAGAUGAUUACAAUCUCUCAGCCCGAGAACUGCUCCCUUCUUGCAGGGAAAAGGCAGCAGAUGGUAACCCAUGACGAUCAGUUCCUCAGCAAGACUGCAUUCCCAUCCAAAGAAGACUUGCAAGAAAGAAAUUAUGAAGAAGCACACCAGGAUAAAGACAAGGAAAUAAUGAAGAAAUUUGGUCUUGUUAAAGGUGUAAGAGUUGUUCUCAACAGGCAAAGUGUCUCUGAGCUUAGGAAGUGGACUGCCAAACCUUCUUCAUGUAAAAAGAAAGAUUUCUUUUUAGGGCCAUUAGGACAGAGAACUGAGGAAAGUGCCACACAUACUUAACUCUCUGUACAUAAUAUGGAGCAUACUUCACUUUGAAGUAUUUCUUAUACAGCAUUAGUAUAAUUCUCGAAUAUUUAUGCAUUUAAUCACAUAACAUAAAACACUUUCUCCAAAAACUGCAGAUAAAAUGCCAGCUACUGCUGAAGUCUUUUCUGACUCUGCCUUCUCUUUGGCACUCUUACAGCUGCAACUGAAAGUAGAAAAGGUGCCUGCUGAUCUCUUACUGAUAGCAAUGUUUUGCAGUCUGUCCCUGCCAGUCUGUGUCUCGUAGGCAGAAACAGGAAGCUCUCCACACCCGUGCUAGGCUUUUUCUGGUUUGAGCAUUGCUAUUAAUUUCAAGUGAAGGUGCCAGAAGUGCAAGAUGUGUGUUUAUAGUCAUCGACCUGCUCUGGAGAAAGUCUUGCCCUAUGGCUUUGCUUAUAAGUAUUAUUUGGCAGUUUUGCCUGGUAUCAGAGCCUCUGGGAAUAGGUGUUUGCUUUCUCUAAUCCCUGACAUUUUCAAACUCACAGUUCAGAUUCACCUCUUGUUUCCAUUUUGUAUUUUUCUACAACAAAGCUCUUAAGAUUUCUUCAGCAGGUAGAUUGGACGUGAAUUUCCAGAAUCCUGGAUCAUUUUCAGUAUACCUGUGUUCAAAUUCUUACUCUGCAGAUAAAUUAGUGAUCAAUAAUAAAUCAGUAUUUCUCCUUGAUCUAUUUAUUAUCUCAUAUUCAGCACUAAAGUUCCAUUUCUGUCAAGUGGAUGUUAACCCAUCAUCACUCAGCCUUUCCAAGAUCUUUGAGAAUGGUCUGUUUUUGUUGUCUCUGAAUGGGAGCAUCUUUGGUCUACCCUCAGCAUUCAUGAAAAUAUCUUCUUGUGAAAUAUUUUGGGGUUGGGUAGAGCAAAACUCUCCAAAGAAUAUAUUAAAAAAAACACAGGUACAACUCCUGGAUUAGUUUUGGGUUGGUUUUUUUUUUCUUUUUGCCAGAACUCAAAUGAAAGUAAGAAAAUUACUAUUGGCUGUCAUUUCUCCUAAAAUUUCCUUCCCAGUAAAUAUGCCAAGGCAGACCCUUAGGAUAAUCAAUUUUUUAUGGCAUUUCUCCAUCUAUAUAUGUUAUCAUUUCUCAACACGUGUUCCAGAAAUCAGAUAAGAUCAAAUACUUAGCCAAAUAUUUUAUGUUUGGCUGUUUCAUACAAAUGCUUCCACUCCCUGGACUGCUAUUGAGAAGUUUCAGCUACAUCAGUGUUAUUAGUAGUUCUCAUUAACAUGAAUGGUUAUUGUGACUGCUUUUCAGUAUUUUCUGCUGCCAUGUCUUUUCCUUUGCAGAUUACAUUCAUUUUGUUACAUUCUGUCAUUUCACACAGACUGUGUUCUUUGCAUGUAGAACCGUUCAAGUAAUAAAAAGAUGCUACGUCUUCUUGAA